rnacentral:rRNA from 1 species
GACAGAGGUGCCGAGCGUUAGGCGGAAUCACUGGGCGUAAAGGGAGCGUAGGCGGGAGCCUAAGUUGGGUGUUUAAUUCCGGGGCCCAACCCCGGGCAGGCACUCAAAACUGGGUUUCUUGAAUAGGGGAGAGGUCGGUGGAAUUGGAGGUGUAGCGGUGGAAUGCGUAGAGAUCUCCAAGAACACCAGUUGCGAAGGCGGCCGACUGGACCCAUAUUGACGCUGAGGCUCGAAAGCAUGGGGAGCAAACAAG